rnacentral:tRNA from 1 species
GGAGGCGUGCUAGAGUGGUUGAAUAGGACAGUCUUGAAAACUGUUAGGCCUUUACGGGUCUCGGGGGUUCGAAUCCCUCCGCCUCCGCCA